AUGGGUAAGCUUUUAAACUCCGCCGACGACCUCGACCGCUUCGACCUCCAUGGGCCGAAGGAUCUGAUGGACCUCGACGAGAUUGACUGGGCCAAGGAGGAGCACCGCCGCCGCAUCGCCGCCUGCCUCGUCAAAGGCGUUUACGUCCACGAGAACGACAGAGCGGAGCGCAUGGCGGUUAAGCUGGCGCCGGCGUGGUGGGAAAGCUUUGGCUUCCACCUAAAGAAAGAACUCAGAGAGCCGAUAUACUCCGCCAUCGUCGGUGUUGUAUUCGACACCAUCUACGGUGCCAUCUUCGAGUACAGCCCCAGCGCGCCCGGCGACCGGUGCGCUCCACGGUAUGUCGUCGCCUUCAGGGGCACAAAGCCGGGGAGUAUUCGAGACUACUACCUUGACUUGACAAUCGUGAUCAACAAACUGAAGAAACGCACGCGCUGCGUGCAAGCGUGCGCUACGAUCGAGGGACUUAUGAUGGAGGAGGGCCAAGACAGCUGCAUCUGGCUCGCCGGGCACUCUCUCGGAGCGGCUGUGGCGCUGGUCGUGGGACGGUACAUGAUGGUGCAGGAGAAGCCGCCAAACCUCCCGACCUUCCUCUUCAAUCCACCGCACGUCUCAUUUAUAACGUCGAUCAACUUGCUGAAGCUGGACCCGGUGGCGAAGGAGAGCGUGCACCGGGUGGGUAACAUCUUAAGGGAGGGUGCUGCAAAGGUCUUGCGCUCCCAUCGGGAGCGCAUGGACAACUUGUUCCAGCGGCUUUCCCCUUGGGUGCCGAAUCUGUACGUGCACAAGAAGGACCCCAUCUGCCAGGGCUUCAUCGACUACUUCGAGCAGCGGCAGAAGUUCAUGGAAGGCUCCCACCGUGUUGGCACAACGUUCGCGGCACUCUCUCUCCGUGACGGGUUCUGGCACCUGAUUGACAAGGACAAGGACCGGCCGCAACUCCUGCCAUCGGCGAAGCUGUGGAAAAGCUGUCUCGACCACGAUCCGCACGGUCUCCAGCAGUGGUGGAAACAGGACAGCUUGGAGGCCAAGCAUUAUAGCUACCCUGUGCCUCAAGCACAAACUGCUUCUACCUCUAUGCCGGCUUAG
rnacentral:rRNA from 1 species